rnacentral:lncRNA from 1 species
CCUGGAUCUCUGUGCCUCCUAUGUCUGUACAUGUCUUACUACUUUGACCGUGAUGAUGUGGCUUUGAAGAGCUUUGCCAAAUAUUUUCUUCACCAAUCUUAUGAGGAGAGGGAACAUGCCGAGAAACUGAUGAAGCUGCAGAACCAAGGAGGUGGCCGAAUUUUCCUUCAGGAUAUCAAGAAACCAGAUCGUGAUGACUGGGAGAGUGGGCUCAAUGCAAUGGAGUGUGCUUUGCACUCGGAGAAAAGUGUGAACAGUCACUUCUGGAACUGCACAAACUGGCCACUGAUAAAAAUGACCCCCACUUGUGUGAUUUCAUUGAGACUCAUUACCUGAAUGAGUAGAUGACAUCCAUCAAAGAAUUGAGUGACCAUG